AGAACAGUGAUUUGGCAGCUCUCUGUGCUGUGGAGACAAGGAGGAGAGUUCAGGAUGUGCCUGGGAGAAGAGCACUGAUGAACAUACCAAGGAAGUGAAGAACCCUGGGGGGUAAAGCCUUAAGAACAGUAAUUUUCUGGACUGACAAAAGGUCCCCAAGACAUGGCAGCCAGAUUCAGAGCAAGUGAUUCACGAAGAAGAAAGACAGAAGCUUCUAUGUCUUUUAUGACCUAGCCUUGAAAUCACACUCUCAUUUCCCACAACAACGUAUUGGUUAUUCAGAGCAGCCCUACUCUGCAUGGGAGAGGACUACAGGGAAGUGUCAAUAGGAGAAGAUCAAUGAUACCCAAGCAAGGCUAUUUUUGGUUGUCACAGUGGUCACAGCUGGCAUCAAGUGGG